ACACACACACACACUGACACACACACACAGAGAUCAGAUCCGAGUGAUAUGUAGAUGAUCAUCAAACUGAAUGCGAACCCGCGCUGCGCUGCACACAAUCAAAAAACAGACACCAAAAAAAACCAACAAGUUAAUUGUUAAAGUAAAUAUAUUAAUAUAUGUGUAAAAAGAAAACAAAAAACAAAAAAACCAAUUAAGAACUACGAAAAAAAACCAAAACAAAAAAAACGAUUAAGCAAAAAACGAAAAAAAAGUAUAAGGAAAAACAAAACAAAAAGUAAACAAAAACAAAAACAAAAAAUACUUAAACAUACUCAAGUCACAGGGCUCUGCCGCCGUAUGCCUUUGUACUUUUAAUGUAUGGAACAAUCGAUAACGUAACGAUUACGAUAACGAAACCGUAACAUGACGCUGCCUUCACGCGCAGUCGCCGCGUGGUGGACGUGGACGUGGACGCUUGACGGUGCCGCACAGUGCGCGGGCGCAGCGGAGCAGCAGUAGAAAAACAAAGAAAAAAUUAAACAACAACAGCAACACACACAAAGGGAAAGAGAGAGAGA